UCUAAACAUCAUUCUGAUUAAUGAUUUUUUUGAUAAAAUGUUAACUGUUAAUUCCAACUACGGUUGGCUUGUCGCGAAAUUGUAUUCCUGGACUUACAAUUCGGACUUUAUUUUUCCACUUAAACCUAUUAUGUCAUCGUGUUGUUAAAAUCUCGCACGGAAUACUUGGUAACCGACCACGAAGAGAGAUGAGAGAUGCUGCCAAGAAGGACGAGGGAUUCUUCCGCCGGCUCUUCGAACGGUCCUUUUCAGGACCACCGCAGAGAUGAGGUUACCCUUCCCUGCGAAAGGAUCUUUUCAGAGCCUCGAGGGAGACGGGUUCGCGUGUCGUGGCUCGGGGGCGCUUUUAGGCUUAGGCGUACGCAUGGCUGUGUGGGUGUUAACAAUACGUGUCCGUUGACACCUCGCACGUCCAAAUCGGGUCACCAGCGGCGGAGAUAGGCUUAUCCACGCAUCCGAUAACCCGCGCGAGAGAAUGACGUCAAUUUUCCGAUAAAAAUCGCUUGUUUGUUUAUUAUAUUUUUUCUUUUUUUACCGUCUGGAACCGGCCUCUCUCAGUAAAUGGAACACAAUGGGGCGAUUCGACCGAUCAAGAUUUUAGAGGUCAGUAAUUCAUCAAGACACAAAUCAUUGCACUGCGUAUUUUUCUGGGCAACUUUUGCAAAACAAAGAUGCCGCAACGCUGUUCAGUGCCUAAAUGUGGAAUGCGAACCGGUGGACAUACAUUUCCAUCUGAUGCACGGCUUCUAAAGCAAUGGGUUAUUGCUAUAAGAAGGAAUGCCCGCAAAUCAACCGGAAAACGUUGGUUCCCUUCUGAACAUGAUGUUGUUUGCAAGAAACAUUUUCAGCAAGAAGAUUAUAUUACAAGGAUAUAUGGUAAGUUCACUUCAACAGUUAGAGACAAAUAUAUAUUAGUAUCUAGGUUAAGGUAUGAACUGGAGUGCCUAGUUUCGCAGAUGCUUCCGCCGCCCCUUUGAACGGUCCUUUUCAGGACCACCGCAGAGAUGAGGGUACGCUGACCCUGCGAACGGCUCUUUUCAGAGCCUCGAGGGAGACGGGUUCGCGUGUCGUGGCUCGGGGGGGCGCUUUUAGGCUUAGGCGUACGCGUGGCUGUGUGGGUGUUAACAAUACGUGUCCGUUGACACCUCGCACGUUCAAAUCGGGUCACCAGCGGCGGAGAUAGGCUUAUCCACGCAUCCGAUAACCCGCGCGAGAGAAUGACGUCAAUUUUCCGAUAAAAAUCGCUUGUUUGUUUAUUAUAUUUUUCUUUUUUUUACCGUCUGGAACCGGCCUCUCUCAGUAAAUGGAACACAAUGGGGCGAUUCGACCGAUCAAGAUUUUCGCUAGGUGGUGAUAGAGGUCAGUACUUCAUCAAGACACAAAUCAUUACACUGCGUAUUUUUCUGGGCAACUUUUGCAAAACAAAGAUGCCGUAACGCUGUUCAGUGCCUAAAUGUGGAAUGCGAACCGGUGGACAUACAUUUCCAUCUGAUGCACGGCUUCUAAAGCAAUGGGUUAUUGCUAUAAGAAGGAAUGCCCGCAAAUCAACCGGAAAACGUUGGUUCCCUUCUGAACAUUAUGUUGUUUGCAAGAAACAUUUUCAGCAAGGGGAUUAUAUUACAAGGAUAUAUGAUUCACAGAAGUGUAAUUUGAAACCUGGUGCGAUUCCUAGCAAGUUUGAUUUUAAAACGGAUAAAACACUACACUCGAGCAUUUCAGUCGCAACAACCUCAAAAACAAGAUCUGGUCAAGAAUUCUCCACUGAAGCUACACCCAUUAUAGAAGAAGACGAUUUGGUACAAGAAGAGGUGGUUACACAUCAUAUGGUUGAUUACACAUCAUAUGGUUUAUUGUGAGAAGUUUGAUACUGCUGUACAGUGCGAUAUUCAAUUCAACAAGCAUACUUUCUUUAGUUUAAUCGACAUUAAACAUGAUAGCAGAGCUGUGCACUACUACACCGGAUUCAACGAUUAUUCCCAUUUCAAAUUGUUUUUUAAAUGUCUGGGCAGAGCCGCUAGCAAUCUCGUUUACCAUUGUGCUUCGUUAGAUUCUGAGGAAGAGCUAUUUUUGACUGUUGUGGCGACAAGUUAAAGAUAACCGAAAAAUCAGCAUUUUGUUCAAAAUUUGUGAAAGUUCAGUUUCUACAAUUGUUAAAACCUGAAUUAAUUUUCUUUAUUUUCAAAAAGUGAACACACCCACAAUACUAAAAGGUAAACAUCAACUGGAAGCUGUUGAUGUCGUCAAAGAUCGGAGAAUCGCUUCGAAAAAAUUCACGUUGAAAGAGUCAUUGGUCUCGCAAAAACCUACAAAAUAUUAAAGCAGCCCUUCAACAUUAUUGGGAGGAAGAAUUAUUUUUGUUUGUUUUAUGCUUACAAAUUUCAGGAUUGGUAUAGUUGAAAAAUGUCUGUAACUGUUAUUGUAAAUACGAACACUUACUUAAUAAUUUUAAAAUUAAGGUGUUGUUUGUUUUCCAGUAUCUGACUGCAUUUUUUCAUACCAUAGGAAGACGGUAUGUUAAAUUUUGUUUCCUUUGGCAAACCACAAACCCUAAAACCAUCUGGUUUACUAUAAGGAAUCCGGCUACCAGGUUUUCUAAUGCCAUUUGCUGGAAAUAAAAAGCUAUGUUUGCAGAGUGCAGAUUCAUUUUCUACAAUGGAAGCUUAAAUCAAAAAUUAAAAAAUCAAGUAUUUUUUUCAUAUUAAAUUGCUUAAUGUUACUACUUUUAAUUAAUGCUAAUAAACCAAUUAAUUUAUACUUACAAUAUUUCUCAUUAAACAGUUCUUGGCCCAUUUUUCUUAGCUUGCCGAGUUCUGGUUCUGUGUUUUUUUUUAAAUCUAAAACAAAUGAAUGAAUGUUUCACAAAUUGUAACUAGAAAAUGCAUGUUUUAGUUUUUUUUGUUUGUGCAUGUUUUACACUGUUUAAUACAAACAGAAAGGGUAGCUGAACACUUGAUCUGACUUACUAUUUUCAUGAUUUUCUGACGAGCCUAAAAUGAACUCUCUUUGUUUUUCUUGAUCAGAAAAAAAGCUACACCAUCAGAGGAACCAAAAAAAGCAUAUUUCCUUCAUGGUAGCUUAACCCCCCUAUCUUCACAUCCAGCUGUUCCAAUGCAGUGCACUAAACAUAAAAAUGAAUACAACCACAAUUUUGGUUAUAUAUAAUUGUUAAUUCCGAAUUACUCUUACAUACUUGUCAACAACCUGAACCAUCACUUACUGAAUUCAUAAUUAUUUUUAAAUGUUUUUCUCUUAAAGUUUUCCUUUGCUUUUCUGUCAAUUCUUUGCUGCCAUCUGUACUAAUUUUUGCUUUCUCAUUCCAUUUGUUUUUUUUUUCGUCUUCACUCAAAUUAUUCCAAAGUGCUCCAUAUGUUCCUAUAUCUUGUAUAAGACAGAAGAAUUAAUAAAUAAUACCCUGUGGCCAUGA